GAUGAACGCUAGCGGCAGGCUUAACACAUGCAAGUCGAGGGGCAGCAUAAUGGAUAGCAAUAUCUAUGGUGGCGACCGGCGCACGGGUGCGUAACGCGUAUGCAACCUACCUUUAACAGGGGGAUAACACUGAGAAAUUGGUACUAAUACCCCAUAAUAUCAUAGAAGGCAUCUUUUAUGGUUGAAAAUUCCGAUGGUUAGAGAUGGGCAUGCGUUGUAUUAGCUAGUUGGUGGGGGUAACGGCUCACCAAGGCGACGAUACAUAGGGGGACUGAGAGGUUAACCCCCCACACUGGUACUGAGACACGGACCAGACUCCUACGGGAGGCAGCAGUGAGGAAUAUUGGUCAAUGGACGCAAGUCUGAACCAGCCAUGCCGCGUGCAGGAUGACGGCUCUAUGAGUUGUAAACUGCUUUUGUACGAGGGUAAACGCAGAUACGUGUAUCUGUCUGAAAGUAUCGUACGAAUAAGGAUCGGCUAACUCCGUG
rnacentral:rRNA from 1 species